rnacentral:rRNA from 1 species
AUGGAAUUCACCGCCGCGGAUAUCUUUCAGCACUCGCCCUUCGGCGACAUUCUGAAUUCACUAAAGUCUCUCUCUUUGUCAGAAGAGCCCUGGCUGGAUUAUGGCCAACAGGAUUGGGAUACGGACGACGAAGAAAUUCGACGCCCACCCACCACCCACUUAAUAGCCACUGUUGAUGACUCAACCGACAUGCUCGACUUCAACUCCGAAGACAUCAACGGUAUGGACGACGAUGCGGGAGGCGAAGAGGAACCACCGCCCACAGGGCGCUGGACGUCCACCUCAUCAUAUGGUGUAUACAUGAUGGACACACCAAAAGAAGACGACGACGAGGAACGGAAGGAUGCACCGAAGGCUUGUUCCCUCGAGAAGCAGUCAAAGCGGCGGCGCAAGCGCCGCCCCAAACCUCAUCAUAUGGCGUAUACAUGA